GGCCCGGCAGCCGCAGAGGGGGCUGCUGCAGCCCGGGCCCCGGCCCCCCGCCUGGCCCGCGGGGCCCGCCUCAGCAGCGCCGCGGCCGCCGGCUCCCCAUAGGGCGCGGCGAGGUGGUCCCGGCACCGUGCGCCCCUGGCCGCCGCCGCCGCCGCCGGCUCCCGCCUCGCUCCACGGCCCGCUCGCAGGCUUCUGCUUCCCGGGCGUCUGCGGGCAGGCACAGUCCUCUCGUGCUCAUGCAAAGGUGCCCGGGCUCCGGCGGGGCUGCUCGGCGGAGUCGCCGGGCUCCGCGCCCCGGCCGCGCGCCCGGCGCCGCUGCUACUCGGAGUCCCGGGGCGAGUCCAAGCCGCGGCUGGAGGAGCCGGCGGGGUCGACUGCUCACUGUGAAGCUACCUCCAUGCGACCCUCCCCUUCCCGCCCUUUCCCCUCCCCCCACCAGCCUGAUCUGGGUUCUUGGGCGCUUAUUGUUUUAAUGAAAUUUUUGGUUGUUGUUGUUUUGGUCCUUGAAUGUGAUUUUAGCUGCGAGUAACGUGUCCCGCGCUCCUCUCGGGCUCCCUCGGAGGGUUUUCAGAGAGGUCUCAGUGCAUCCAUUUUCUCAGAUCCUCUCCUUCUUUCGGGGGGAAGGAUCUAGGCCCUGCAGGCGCCCUGGAGCGCGAAGGCGGCGGCUGGGGCUCGGAGGGGUCUGCGCGGCGGCCUUGGGAGCUCCCGGGCGGCGGCGGCGGCGGUUCUCCGGGACUGGACACCGUGAGGGAAGCAAGAGGAUUUUCCCAGCAAGAUCUCCAUGUACAGCUACAUCUUUAGGGCCGCUCGGGUUAAUAUAUGUCGUCAGAGGCUCCUCACGCCAAUCCCGGGGCGGCGGGGGCGGCGCCUCGCGCUCUCUGCAAUAAAACUUUUUGAUGUUCUCCUUGCUAAUUGCCGAGGUCCUCAUCCAGGAUUGGCUGCCCCUUCAUAACCAGAAGAUAAUUAAAACGAGGGGGGGAGGGUUAAAAAAACUUUUUUAUCAGCCGGAGGUUAAUGCAAGUGUUUAACAGAUGCUUCACUAUUAAAAUAUUUUCCCCCCAAGUCGCAAAUAUUGAAGAAUCUUAAACCAGGGACACCAGCCCCAGCGAAGGAAGACCUUAAGCGAUUUCAAAGUGCAGGCACCUCGAUUCCCCGAAUUUGUUGUGUGGCCGAUAUCGGUGUUCCCCUGGUUUAACUAGCCUGUCUGGCCCAGCGUAAAUGCCACCUCCUCCAGGAAGCCUUUCCAGAUCUCUGGGCACACAUCUUUCCCCUCCUGUGACUGUGGGUUCCCUGAGAGCCCAAUCGAGGCACUGUACCCAGUAGGUGCUUAAACAACUUGCGUAAAGGAUGACAGAGAAAUCUGGUGAAUUCCGGGUAUCCCAGUUGCAAUCGGAUUGCAAUUUUCUUUGUUUUGAAAGCGACCAAAGCUAGCGGCGGAGGCGGACGUCGUGCCGAAAGGCACAGACCUUCAUCGCCAAGCCCUCGGGAGAAGCAGGGAAGGCUCCUCGGCUGGACCGCGCGUCCGAGGGCUCCGCAUCGCCGGCGUGGGAUGGAGAGUGGGGACCCACCCCGGCCUGGUCUCCCCUGGCCCCUCCGCCUCCUGAGCUGUGGAGCCAGAGCUGGCCGGGCGGACUCCGCGGACUGGUUGGUCUCUCUAAGACUUGGUUUCCGCAUCUGAGCAAUGGGGUAGCCACGCCGGCCGCGAGGAUGCGCACGAAAGAUGAAUCAGGUCAAGGCGCGCGCGGGGCUGGACGCCGGACACACAGGCUGCGCGCAAUAAAUGUGUGUGUGCUUUCUCUUCUUU